CCUACGUGUGGCAGCAGUGGGGGAUAUUGCACAAUGGGGGAAACCCUGAUGCAGCGCCGCCGCGUGGGUGAAGAAGCGCCUCGGCGCGUAAAGCCCUGUCAGCAGGGAAGAAAAUGACGGUACCUGAAGCAGAAACCCCGGCUAACUACGUGCCAGCAGCAGAGGUAAUACUGAGUGGGCAAGCGUUAUCCGGAUUUACUGGGUGUAAAGAGGGCGCAGACGGCAAUGCAAGCCAGGAGUGAAAGCCCGGGGCCCAACCCCGGGACUGCUCUUGGAAAUGCGUGGCUAGAGUGCAGGAGGGGUAGGCGGAAUUCCUGGUGUAGCGGUGAAAUGCGUAGAUAUCAGGAGGAACACCGGUGGCGAAGGCGGCCUGCUGGACUGCAACUGACGUUGAGGCCCGAAAGCGUGGGGAGCAAACAGGAUUAGAUACCCUAGUAGUC
rnacentral:rRNA from 1 species